rnacentral:piRNA from 1 species
UAGAGCUUUGACCCUGUGUGAGC